AGCGAACGCUGGCGGCAGGCCUAACACAUGCAAGUCGAACGAACCCUUCGGGGUUAGUGGCGGACGGGUGAGUAACACGUGGGAACGUGCCUUUAGGUUCGGAAUAACUCAGGGAAACUUGUGCUAAUACCGAAUGUGCCAUUCGGGGGAAAGAUUUAUCGCCAUUGGAGCGGCCCGCGUUGGAUUAGGUAGUUGGUGAGGUAAAGGCUCACCAAGCCUACGAUCCAUAGCUGGUCUGAGAGGAUGAUCAGCCACACUGGGACUGAGACACGGCCAAGACUCCUACGGGAGGCAGCAGUAGGGAAUCUUGCGCAAUGGGCGAAAGCCUGACGCAGCCAUGCCGCGUGAAUGAUGAAGGUCUUAGGAUUGUAAAAUUCUUUCACCGGGGAAGAUAAUGACGGUACCCGGAGAAGAAGCCCCGGCUAACUUCGUGCCAGCAGCCGCCGUAACAC
rnacentral:rRNA from 1 species